AUUGAACGCUGGCGGCAUGCUUUACACAUGCAAGUCGAACGGCAGCACGGGUGCUUGCACCUGGUGGCGAGUGGCGGACGGGUGAGUAAUACAUCGGAACGUGUCCAGAAGAGGGGGAUAACGCAUCGAAAGAUGUGCUAAUACCGCAUAUGCUCUGAGGAGGAAAGUAGGGGAUCGAAAGACCUUACGCUUUUGGAGCGGCCGAUGUCUGAUUAGCUAGUUGGUGGGGUAAGGGCCUACCAAGGCGACGAUCAGUAGUUGGUCUGAGAGGACGACCAGCCACACUGGGACUGAGACACGGCCCAGACUCCUACGGGAGGCAGCAGUGGGGAAUUUUGGACAAUGGGCGCAAGCCUGAUCCAGCAAUGCCGCGUGAGUGAAGAAGGCCUUCGGGUUGUAAGACGUCUUUCAGUCGAGAAGAAAAGGACGUAGCAGUGAAUAACUAGUAGUUUAUGACGGUAUACGACAGAAGAAGAC
rnacentral:rRNA from 1 species